GCGGAAGUGGCGGAAUUGGUAGACGCGCAGGAUUUAGGUUCCUGUGGGGUAAUCCCCUUGAGAGUUCGAAUCUCUCCUUUCGCACCA
rnacentral:tRNA from 1 species